UCUGUAAUAGUCUAUCUAUAGGAUUUUGGAUUGUGGAACCAAAGGAGAAUUAUUCUUACAGA
rnacentral:tRNA from 1 species